UACGUAGGGUGCGAGCGUUGUCCGGAAUUAUUGGGCGUAAAGAGCUCGUAGGCGGUUUGUCACGUCUGCUGUGAAAUCCCGAGGCUCAACCUCGGGCCUGCAGUCGAUACGAGCAAACUAGAGUGUUGCAGGGGAGACUGGAAUUCCUGGUGUAGCGGUGAAAUGCGCAGAUAUCAGGAGGAACACCGGUGGCGAAGGCGGGUCUCUGGGCAACAACUGACGCUGAGGAGCGAAAGCGUGGGGAGCGAACAGG
rnacentral:rRNA from 1 species